CCCAGCCCCGCCUCACAGCGCCGCGAACCUGCCCCUGUGGCCGGCUGGGUCCGCCUCCCCCUGCAGCCUCCCGGGCGAAGACGCCAGAAGGUUAUGUCAAGUAAUUUUCAUCUUUUCCAAAAUGAAUAAUUGAAAUGGGAACAUGUGAGAAGACCCCGAUGAAACUGGGAGCAUUGAACCCCUGAAUUCUGCUGAGUGUUCUUUGCAGUAAAAGACCCCUUCUCUACAGCCUUAUGGAGAGUUCCUUACAGUUUACUGAGGAAGAGAAAACUCAGGCCUGAUUUAUAGAUGAUCCUGCCCAAUAUGUAAUACAACCCACAAGUGGACAACUACACAAGACAGUCCCUUCUGGGACACCCUGAAGGACAGCAGUGAAGAUGGGAGUCUCACUCUGUCGCCCAGGCUGGAGUUCAGUGACGCAAUCUCGGCUCACCACAACCUCCGUCUCCCAGGUUUAAGCGAUUCUCCUGCCUCAGCCUCCCGAGUAGCUGGGAUUACAGACGCCCACCACCAUGUCUGGCUAAUUUUUGUAUUUUUAGUAGAAAGGAGGUUUCACCACAUUGGCCAGGCUGGUCUUGAACUCCUGACCUCAAGUGAUCCACCUGCCUCAGCCUCCCAAAGUGCUGGGAUUACAGGCAUGAGCCACCACACCCAGUCCUGAAAUUAACAUUUGAGACAGUGGACUGGGAGAGGCAGACCCACCCUCAAUCUGGGUGGGCACCAUCUGCCCACCCAGCUGCCAGCACAGCUAGGAUAAAAGCAGGCAGAGGAACGUGGAAGGACUAGACUGGCUGACUCUUCCAGCCUUCAUCUUUCUCCUGUGCUGGAUGCUUCCUGCCUUCGAACAUUGGACUCCAAGUUCUUCAGCUUUUCGACUCUUGGACUUACACCAGUGGUUUGUCAGGGGCUCUCCAGCCAUCAGCCACAGACUGAAGGCUGCACUGUUGGCUUCCCUACUUUUGAGGUGUUGGGACUCGGACUGGCUUCCUUGCUCCUCAGCUUGCAGACGGCCUAUUGUGGGACUUCAUCUUAUGAUCGUCUCUUCUGGGUGAAAGAGCUCCUACAGUGAUGGCUGACUUCAACACUGCUUGGGAGAGGCCUGGCACCCAUAACAUCUGAGACAUCUCUACCAACUGGGAUCUCCUUUCAAGUUCAGUCAAAAACAGUCAAAGUUGGCCCUGUUCUUCCAACAACCCAUGUCUGAUGCAGUCUCAAAUCUUUUUCUAAAUAAGGCAGGGAUAAGAAAGACAGGCAAAUGGAUCCUCAUCCAGAAAUGGAUUCUAGAACUAAACCUGUAUCACCCCAGUUGCAGAUUUCACAAGAAUAUGGUCCUGCCUGGUCCUGUUGGGUUUGAUGGGGUUCAAAACAUGCUACCCCAAAAUAUGGCACCUUGGCAUAUUGAAUAUUUUAAGCUGAAGGAAUUUGAGAAGCAGCCAUUGCAGGAAGGACUCUCUAACCUCCCCUUUCUCGCCAGAGCACGUCAUAAGACCCUCACAGAAGAGGUGCCCUCCCUAUAACUGGAGGAAGGGAGCAUCCUUAUGUCAGAAGACGGAAGGAUGCUGAGAGGAAUUUGAGGGAAUGGGCCUUGCUAUGUUUCCUCCAGUUUACUAUCCUUAGUUCAUAUCCUUUGUCCUAUCACAUUUUCCCACAACACUCCACUCUUCAUUAAAUCAAAUAUAAAAGUGCUCAGGCUUAACCUGAACUGGCUUAACCUCAAGCUAACCAUUCUUUGGGUCUUCCUUUCCUUAUGAAGGCUCCUAUGUCAUGUAAAACUUAUAUUAAAUAAAUGUGUUUGCUCUUCUCAUGUUAAUCUGUCCUGUCAACAUAGUUUUCAGGCCCAGCCAAGAACCCUAGGAGGGUUAAGGAAAAGUUUUACUCCCCUACAGCUUUCAUCAUAUUCCUUCUCCAGUGACUUUACUGAUAUGGUUCUGUGGGUCAUUAAGGUCUCCUGUAGAAGCAACAUUAUUUUUUAUGUCCUAGCCAUUAAAGUCUAGACUCCAGACUGGAUUGGGUGCUAUGAGAGCAUACUUGGUCUACUAGGUCUUCCAGUAACCCUACAUACUCCACAGCAGUCCACCCAUUGCAGGGUCCUAUACAUGUGUACCCAAGCAAAAUAUACACAAGAAUGGGUCAAUCUCUGAGGGUAAUACCUGAGAGAUCUGCAGCCUGCCUUACACAUAUUCCUAAUUGCCUUCCUAACACUAAUUCCCUUGAAAGAACUUGGAGAAACCCGGAGUCCACCUCCAAUUCACAAUGCAGACUAAGAGUUCAGAACAGGAGUGAAGCCUCUAGAAGCAAAGGCCAAACAUAAAAGCAUACUGUAAUCAGGGCCUGGCAUCCAUUACAUACAAUUCUAUUGUUAUGGAUCACACUCUUUUCCUUCUUCAAGCUUGAUUUUACCAGUAAAUAACAAUUACUUUAGAACCACCUUAGCCAAGCUUUAAUGUCUACUACCACUUCAACCCCCUAGUUCACAAUUUAUCUUCUUCCUGGCUCAGCACAUUUGGACUAACCACACAGAAAUGGACCUCUGUCCUAUUUCAGCAUCUGCUAUAGUUUGAAUGUGUCCUCCAAAUUUUAUGUGUUGGAAACUUAAUCCUCAAAUUCAUAUGUUGAUGGUAUUUGGAGGUAGGGCCUUUGGGAAAUAAUUAGGAUUAAAUAAGGUCACCAGGGUGGGGCCACCAUGAUGGAACUGGUGGCUUUAUACGAAGAGGAAGAGAAAUUGGAGCUGGCACACUCUUGCCCUCUCACCAUGUGUUGCCCUCCACCAUGUUAUAAUGCAGCAAGAAAGCCUCACCAGAUGCUGACACCAUGUUCUUGGACUUGCCAACCUCCAGAACCUUGAGCUAAAUACAUUUAUUUUCUUUAUAAAUUUCUCAGUCUUAGGUAUUCAGUUAUAGCAACAGAAAAUGGACUAAGACAGUAUCUUUCUCUUGGGAGUGGAUUGCAUGAGAAAAUCAAGUGGGCAAAGCUCAAAACAUCCAGAUCUCCAAGUCUGGCCCCAAAGGUUCCCAUAUAUAAUAAGGGAAACUAAAGAGAAUCUUGGAAUAUUUUGAGCAAGAAAGUGGUACAAUAAAUCAAUGCUUUACAAAGGUUAAUCUGGCAUCUGCAGGAUGGAUUUAAGGGUAGAAGUUACUGGAUUCAUAGGAAGACUAUUAUACUAAUCAAAUGUGAAGAUUCUGAAAGUCUGAUUUUGAAAGGUGGCAAUGUAGGGAAAAUGUAUAAAGACAUUAGAAAAGAAAAUCAACUAAAUUCAGUGAGUGAAAGUUUUGCCCCGAAAAAAAGAAGGCUUAAGAGAUGACAUGACUUAAAAAUAGAGGCUAGACAUAAGAAAAUUAGAUAUUGGAGAAUGCUGGUGUUCCUGAGGGAGUGAACAAUUUUAGGGAUUACUUAGACAAAGCAAAUUGCUAAUCAUAUAGAAAACCCCAAGCUGUAUGUACCAACAGGGAAAUAAAAUUUGAUUUCCUUUGUGUAUAUGUGAAUAUGCUUACUCUUUUCUAAAUUCAAAAAUGGCUCAGCCAAGAAAAAGAACGUGAAUAGACAAUUCACAGAGGAAGAAAUUCAAAUGGCCAAUAAGCAUUCAAAAAGAUGUUUAAUAGUGGAAUUGCAGCUGAUAAGGAUUGGUUUCUAAAAAUAGAAUGUAAGGCAAAAAUCAAGUAUAAUACAGCCAAUUACCCUUGAAAACCUCUUAAAUCUCCCAUAAAAUACAUUAUAUAUGUUUUGGUGCACAUAAUCCUACAUGUGUAUAUAAAUAUAUAAUAGACUGCUUUGGGGGGUGGUCCCCAAAACCACAUUUAGCUUCAAUCCUUCAUUAUAAUGACCCGCAGAACUCAGAAAAGCUGUUAUACUAAUGAUUAGGGCUUAUUACAGAAAAAAAUAGAGAUUAAAAUCACCAAAGGAGAAAGGUGCAUGAAGCAGAGUCCAGGAGAAACCAAGUGCAAGCUUUGAGUUGUACUCUCCCAGCAGAUCUCUGAAUUCUCCCAGCUACAAUGUGACAAUAUGUACAAAGUAUUGUUAACCAGGGAGACUCAUCUGAGCCUAGAUGUCCAAGGUUUUUUUGGGAGGAAAGGGCAGUAUAUUACACAGAGCACCUAUGUGACUGACCUUAGCUACUCAGUCUCCAGGUCCUCAGAUGCCUAACUGAUACAGUAUGGUCCUGGGCCCUAGGUAAACAAGAACAGGUGUUCACCAUAAAUCACACAAGUGUAACUUAUCUGACAUGGCCUAUGAUCACUAUACAAAGACAUUCUUGGCCAGGCGCAGUGGUUCAUGCCCGUAAUCCCAGCACUUUGGGAGGUUCAGGUGGGCAGGUCUCUCGAGCCCAGGAGUCAAGUCCAGCCUGUGCAACCUAGUGAAACCCCAGCUCUACAAAAAAUACAAAAAUUAGGCAUGGUGGUACACACCUGUAGUUCCAGCUACUUGGGAGGCUGAGGCAGGAGGAUUGAUUGAGCUUGGGAGGUCGAGGCUGCAGUGAGCCGUGAUGGCACCACUGCACUCCAGCCUGGGCAACAGAGCAAGACCCUGUCUCAAAAAAGAAAAACACAAACAGACAUUCUUGUCAGGCAGGAUAUUCCAAGGGUUUAGAGGUUAUCUCCCAGGAGUUGGUCAGAGGCCAGUCCUGAAGAUGUCUGGAAUGUGCAGGAUUUGUAUACCUACACCUGCUGAGUUAACCCUUUGCACAUAAAAAUAUGGACUACAUAUAGAUUAUGCAAAACAUAACUAUAUAACACUCUGUAUUUAAAGACUGGGCUGGGUGCAAUGGCUUACUCCUGUAACCCCAGCACUUUGGGAGGCCGAGGCAGAAGGACUGCUUGAGCCCAGGAGUUGAGACCAGCCUGGCCAACGUGGCAAAACCCUGUCUCUACUAAAGAUACCAAAAUCAGCCAGACAUGGUAAUGCGCACCUGUAAUCCCAGCUACUCAGGAGGCUGAGGUGGGAGGAUCACUUGAGCCUGGGAGGCAGAGGUUGCAGUAAGCUGUGAUCAUGCCACUGCGUUCCAGCCCGGGUUACAGAGUGAGACCCUGUCUCCAGAAAAAAAAAAAGAAAAAAAAAAAAAGAAAAAAAAAAUGACUGGAACCAAAUUUAUCUUGUAGGAAUAUAUCCAAAUAAAUAACAGAUAUGAACAAGAUCUAUAUUCAAGGAUGACAGUAAAAGGGUAAAAAGUUGAAAACAAAUGGAAUGUCAAGAUUAGGAAAAUGGUUAAAUAAAUCAUAGCACAUUCAUAUCUUGGACUAAUAUAUAGCCAUUAAAAUUCAUAUAGUGGGGCUGGGCACGGUGGCCCACACCUGUAAUACCAGCACAUUGGGAGGCUGAGGUGGGUGAAUCACUUAAGGUCAGGAGUUCAGGACCAGCCUGGCCAACAUGGUGAAACCCUGUCUCUACUAAAAAUACAAAAAUUAGCUGGGUGUAGUGGCAGACACCUGUAAUCCCGGCUACUUGGGAGGCUGAGACACAGAAUCACUUGAACCUUGC
rnacentral:lncRNA from 1 species